UUAAUGCCAAGUCAGGGCAGAGUGAGGGCAGCAGCUUCAGCAGAUGCCGCUGAGCACGCGACGUCGGUCGACGCGCGCAUGCUCAGUCCCAGCCAAGCCGCUGACGCAAGGCACGGUGCAGGCUGAGUCAGCGAAGCUGAACCUGCCUACGGGUCCGGAGCAGCGAGGCGUUCCCGCGGCCGCGGCAUAGACACCGAUCACAGGCGGACUCAGGAUAUUAGGGUGGAGCUUCCUGGGUCAAAUGCUGCUGCCUCCAUUGUGAUCUCGGAGCCUAGGCUGAGCAGCUCCUGUUCCCUGGUGGGAUCUGGGCUGGGGAGUGACUGUGAGUAAAGCUUCCUCUGUGCUCAGCCAAGGCUGCAGUGUAACAUCCUAUCCUUUUGGAGGACAGGGAAGGGAAAUGGCUGCCAUGGAGCCAGUGCAGGAGCCGGUGACCUUCGAGGAGGUGGCUGUGUAUUUCACCAAGGAAGAGUGGGCUCUGCUGGACCCUGCUCAGAGAGCCCUCUACAGAGACAUCAUGCAGGAGAAUUAUGAGAAUGUGACCUUGUUAGGUAAGAAUUCCUGUCCCCUCGGUGUGACGAACUGGGAAUGUUCUUAAUGUUUUCUCUGAGUACUGUGUUGGUGC